rnacentral:rRNA from 1 species
UACGUAGGCAGCAAGCGUUGUUCGGAAUUACUGGGCGUAAAGCGAGUGUAGGCGGUUCGAUAAGUUUGGUGUGAAAUCUCCCGGCUCAACUGGGAGGGUGCGCCGAAGACUGUCAAGCUAGAGUGUGGGAGAGGUAGGCGGAAUUCCUGGUGUAGCGGUGAAAUGCGUAGAUAUCAGGAGGAACACCUGCGGUGUAGACGGCUUACUGGACCACGACUGACGCUGAAACUCGAAAGUGUGGGGAGCAAACAGG